CAAAAAUCUCAUAAACUCAGCCUGAUGCUCAUAUGGAUACUAUUUACAUUAUUUAGAGGGUGCCGCCCUCGCCAGAUGCUGAUAGGGUUGCUUAUUACAUUAUUAGGGUGCUGCCCUCUCGUAUACUCAGCCCACUACUGAUCUCGUUACUAAUUUCGCUGUUAGAGGGUGAGACCCUCCCAUAAAAUCAGCUUGACACUUAUACUGAUACCAUUUACAUUAUUAGAGGGUGCGGCCCUCCCAUAGACGCAGCCCGCUGCUGACAUCGAUACCUAUUUCUCCAUUAGAGGGUGAGCCUCUCUCAUAACUCGGCCCGAUGCUGAUUUGUUACAUAUUACUGCUUACGUUACAG